rnacentral:lncRNA from 8 species
AUGAUGACAUUGUGGUUGUUUCACCAUGCAGUAUCAUUUAUUUUAUGGAUGUUAUGUCUGGUCUCUCUCACACAGAUUGGUUCCCCUUACUCUGACCUCUUCCUUUGGGCCAGUACAAACUCCGUCUACCCCUGUCUCUCUACAGGUCUCUCUCCUUCCCUCUCUACUCUUUCCCUUUCUCCCUAUGUGACCCUUUCUCUCUCAUACUCGUUGUGGGAAGACGAGAGAGAGAGAGAUGGGGAAGAUGAGAGAGACGGAGUGAGUGAGACAGCGAGAGGGGAAGGAGAGAGAGACAGAGAGGGGAUGAGUACCUGUUCGCUGGCGCAUCCCAAUGGGCAGGAGGCCGACUCUGUCCCCGCCAAGCGGCUCUGCAAGGGGGAGUGCGUUCAGGAUGGGUCGGUCGGAGGUGGAGGGGGGAAGGCAAGCAGGGCAGUGGAGGUGGUAGGUGACAUAUCACUAAUCUCGGCAACAACCCAGAACCAACAUUGUUACCGCUGUUUGCCCACGAGAGAACAUUUCACUGGCCUAGAUAACCAAACCGGAUGGAAAAUGUACCAGUCUGUCAAUCCGGAGUAGAAACAAUAACAAAGCCUCUGUUAUUGUAAAAAUUCUGAGGACUGGGCCUGGAAAAAUGUAACCACUCAAAUUCAUGGACAGAACUUUGGAUGCAAGGACUGACCAUCCAAGUUAUACAAAUUAUAGCUUUAAGCAUGUUUUAACGCUAUACAGUGUUUGUUUACAUUUACAAUGCUGACAAACAUUGGAGUGAAACAAGCUCAUAUCAAGAAUGUAUAAGGAUGUUGCAAUUGCAGAUUGGCGUUUUACCUUGGUUUUUGUUUACUUUGUGGCAGAACAUCUGGUUGGUGCCUGUUUCGCACAUUGGCUAAUACUAAUUAGCUAGCUGACUUGACACAAUGUCUGUUCCUCUCUAGUCUAUAGUCAUGCCAGUGUAUAACCCCUCCUGUCUGUCUCUCUCUAGUCUAUAGUCAUGCCAGUGUAUAACCCCUCCUGUCUGUCUCUCUAGUCUAUAGUCAUGCCAGUGUAUAACCCCUCCUGUCUGUCUCUCUCUAGUCUAUAGUCAUGCCAGUGUAUAACCCCUCCUGUCUGUCUGUCUCUCUAGUCUAUAGUCAUGCCAGUGUAUAACCCCUCCUGUCUGUCUCUCUCUAGUCUAUAGUCAUGCCAGUGUAUAACCCCUCCUGUCUGUCUCUCUCUAGUCUAUAGUCAUGCCAGUGUAUAACCCCUCCUGUCUGUCUCUCUCUAGUCUAUAGUCAUGCCAGUGUAUAACCCCUCCUGUCUGCCUCUCUAGUCUAUAGUCAUGCCAGUGUAUAACCCCUCCUGUCUGUCUCUCUAGUCUAUAGUCAUGCCAGUGUAUAACCCCUCCUGUCUGUCUGUCUCUAGUCUAUAGUCAUGCCAGUGUAUAACCCCUCCUGUCUGUCUCUCUCUAGUCUAUAG